rnacentral:tRNA from 1 species
GCCCGGGUGGUCUAGUGGUAUGAUUCUCGCUUAGGGAGAGCUCAAUGAGUUCUAGCAACCCAAGCAUAUCUGCGAGAGGUCCCGCGUUCGAUCCGCGGCUCGGGCC